AUGAUACCACAUAUUCAGCUGCAGCAUCCCUGUGACAUUUUUUCCACUAUCCCUGUCAAUGACUCACCACUACUGAAAACCACAGCAUACCACACUGUUGGGUGUAAUGGCAGUGUUCACCUCAUUAUAUUGCCUUCUAUCUUGCAGAAUAAUUUCUGUGCAACCCAUAGUGCACCACCAUCUUCCUGCUCUCUGGCUCCCUCUUCCAGCUCUGCAUGGAAAGACAUUUCUCCCAGAGGGAAAAAAAGAGAACAUCCAUUGACCUCCAAAACCUUGCUCAAACCUCCAAAGAACAAAAAGGUGGUUGGCAUUCACUCCCCCACAAGAAGCAAACUUUCCAUAUCACCUCAAGUUCUUAAAGACACUCAAUCUUACAGCAUGCUGGGAACCUGCGCCCACUGCAACACUACUCUGCCACUUCCAGCCCAUCAGAAACAUCAGAUCAAAUGCCCAAAUUUUGUAUCUUUGAAAAAUGUUAAGAUGAACCAAAAACCACGCAGUGGAAAAAAAGGUACUGUAGAAUUUCAGAAUCCCAGCAUAAGAUUCAGCUCUCAGGAUUACUCUGCACUGGGUUAAUAAGUACGAUUUUGCAGAGGAAGUGCAUCAGUAGGAGCUAAUACGCAGAAUAUCACUAAGCUCUGUGGAUUCCAACACACAGUGGGUCCCCAUGAGGUUCUUGUGACUCAACAGAUAGUUUUAUUAAUAAUGUGAUUAAAAAAAAAAAGGCUAGGCUUUCAUUUUAGUAUUAAGAGGAAGCUAGUUCAAGCCAAGAGAAGGAAAAAAAAUUCUCCACAAUUUUUCCUUUUUUUCUCUUCUUUUUUUUUCUCCCCAAAAGCAAAGAACGGAGUGUUUUUCAGAUUCGUGGAGUUAAGUUUGGAAAGGACCUCCAGAGCUCAUCAGGUCCAAUGCUCCUGCUCAGUAGGAAUACCUAGAAGAGUUUACCCAGGACCAUGUCCAGACAGCUUUGAAAAAUUGACAAGGGGGGAGACUCCAUUACCUUUUUGCGAGAGCUACUUUCCAGAAACCUACCCAAAAAAUCCAUGACUGUUUGCACUUAAUCAAAUAAUAUAUUUUUCAGGAAACUGAUUUAGCAAGCAUUGCUUCAGAGCCAGUAUGUUUGCAGUCUCUUGCUUCACACCUGCACAUACACAUUGUGCCUCUCAAGUUAUGCUACUCUGAACAGGGCAGUACCUUCCCUAUUGUAAGCAGAGAUCAGCACAAAGAUUUCAUAGAACAGAUGUUCUGUCCAAGGCCAGUCAGACUUCUCCAGUGCUGAGGGAAACCUUAGAGAAUUGUUUCAGAAGACAGGAAGAAAAAAUUAUUUUGUCUCCACAGUAAAAAUUGCAUCUUCAGUAGAACCACAUUGACAUAGGUACAUAGAAAGAACUGAUAUAGAAAUCCUGGAUAAUACUUCCAGCUGAGCUUGGUCUGAUUCAUAGAUAGUGAGUCUCUUUCUUCUGUAUAUCUCAUGUACGGUGUGAAUCAUAUCACUUUGCUAACAUUCCUAUCUGUGUUUCAGUUUCUAAGCAGUAUCAUUUAUUUUCAGUCUAAUUAAUUAAAUGAAUAAAUGUAGUUUUUCUCAGCCUAUCCUUUUCUGC
ensembl:lncRNA